GUAAAUGUCUUGAUGAAGAGGCUGAUACUGUACAGGUUAAGUGACAGUUAUUAACAGGUUUUAUGUUACAGUUUUAGUUUGACCAUACAACAUACCAACAUGACUGAUAACAGGUCAAUACUUUGUUCACUGAUAUUGUAGAAAUUGUAAUAGUCGUUUUUUCAAUUGUUAGAUGGCUAUGAAAACCCUGUGUCAUGGACGACCACAGAGAUAUCUACAUCCUUAAUUCACCCUCGUGGCAUCAAUAAAGGUUUUUGUU
rnacentral:lncRNA from 1 species